GACGAACGCUGGCGGCGUGCUUAACACAUGCAAGUCGAACGGAAAGGCCCUGCUUUUGUGGGGUGCUCGAGUGGCGAACGGGUGAGUAACACGUGAGUAACCUGCCCUUGACUUUGGGAUAACUUCAGGAAACUGGGGCUAAUACCGGAUAGGAGCUCCUGCUGCAUGGUGGGGGUUGGAAAGUUUCGGCGGUUGGGGAUGGACUCGCGGCUUAUCAGCUUGUUGGUGGGGUAGUGGCUUACCAAGGCUUUGACGGGUAGCCGGCCUGAGAGGGUGACCGGCCACAUUGGGACUGAGAUACGGCCCAGAAUCCUACGGGAGGCAGCAGUGGGGAAUAAUGCAAAAUGGGCGGAAGGCUGAUGCAGCAACGCCGCGGGCGGGAUGACGGCCUUCGGGUUGUAAACCGCUUUCGCCUGUGACGAAGCGUGAGGGACGGUAAUGGGUAAAGAAGCACCGGCUAACUACGUG
rnacentral:rRNA from 1 species